rnacentral:rRNA from 1 species
AAUGGGUCAGCGACUUAUAUUCUGUAGCAAGGUUAACCGAAUAGGGGAGCCGAAGGGAAACCGAGUCUUAACUGGGCGUUAAGUUGCAGGGUAUAGACCCGAAACCCGGUGAUCUAGCCAUGGGCAGGUUGAAGGUUGGGUAACACUAACUGGAGGACCGAACCGACUAAUGUUGAAAAAUUAGCGGAUGACUUGUGGCUGGGGGUGAAAGGCCAAUCAAACCGGGAGAUAGCUGGUUCUCCCCGAAAGCUAUUUAGGUAGCGCCUCGUGAAUUCAUCUCCGGGGGUAGAGCACUGUUUCGGCAAGGGGGUCAUCCCGACUUACCAACCCGAUGCAAACUGCGAAUACCGGAGAAUGUUAUCACGGGAGACACACGGCGGGUGCUAACGUCCGUCGUGAAGAGGGAAACAACCCAGACCGCCAGCUAAGGUCCCAAAGUCAUGGUUAAGUGGGAAACGAUGUGGGAAGGCCCAGACAGCCAGGAUGUUGGCUUAGAAGCAGCCAUCAUUUAAAGAAAGCGUAAUAGCUCACUGGUCGAGUCGGCCUGCGCGGAAGAUGUAACGGGGCUAAACCAUGCACCGAAGCUGCGGCAGCGACGCUUAUGCGUUGUUGGGUAGGGGAGCGUUCUGUAAGCCUGUGAAGGUGUGCUGUGAGGCAUGCUGGAGGUAUCAGAAGUGCGAAUGCUGACAUAAGUAACGAUAAAGCGGGUGAAAAGCCCGCUCGCCGGAAGACCAAGGGUUCCUGUCCAACGUUAAUCGGGGCAGGGUGAGUCGACCCCUAAGGCGAGGCCGAAAGGCGUAGUCGAUGGGAAACAGGUUAAUAUUCCUGUACUUGGUGUUACUGCGAAGGGGGGACGGAGAAGGCUAUGUUGGCCGGGCGACGGUUGUCCCGGUUUAAGCGUGUAGGCUGGUUUUCCAGGCAAAUCCGGAAAAUCAAGGCUGAGGCGUGAUGACGAGGCACUACGGUGCUGAAGCAACAAAUGCCCUGCUUCCAGGAAAAGCCUCUAAGCAUCAGGUAACAUUAAAUCGUACCCCAAACCGACACAGGUGGUCAGGUAGAGAAUACCAAGGCGCUUGAGAGAACUCGGGUGAAGGAACUAGGCAAAAUGGUGCCGUAACUUCGGGAGAAGGCACGCUGAUAUGUAGGUGAAGUCCCUCGCGGAUGGAGCUGAAAUCAGUCGAAGAUACCAGCUGGCUGCAACUGUUUAUUAAAAACACAGCACUGUGCAAACACGAAAGUGGACGUAUACGGUGUGACGCCUGCCCGGUGCCGGAAGGUUA